rnacentral:rRNA from 1 species
GACGAACGCUGGCGGCGUGCUUAACACAUGCAAGUCGAACGGGCCCGCCCCUGUUUUUGGGGGUGGGUUGAGUGGCGAACGGGUGAGUAUCACGUGAGUAACCUGCCCCCUGCUCCUGGAUAACUGCUUGAAAGGGCGGCUAAUACGGGGUGUGCCGGCUGGUCCGCAUGGGCCUGGUCGGGAUAGUUUCAUCUUCGGGUGUUUCGGUGGGGGAUGGGCUCGCGGCCUAUCAGCUUGUUGGUGGGGUGAUGGCCCACCAAGGCGGUGACGGGUAGCCGGCCUGGGAGGGUGGGCGGCCACGCUGGGACUGAGACACGGCCCAGACUCCGGCGGGAGGCAGCAGUGGGGGGUAUUGCACAAUGGGCGGAAGCCUGAUGCAGCGACGUCGCGUGAGGGAUGGAGGCCUUCGGGUUGUGAACCUCUUUCUCCGGUGGUGAAGGCCCUGUCCGUUGCGGCGGGGUUGACGGUAGCCGGGGAUGAAGCGCCGGCUAACUACGUG